UACGGGGGGAGCAAGCGUUGUUCGGAUUUACUGGGCGUAAAGGGCGCGUAGGCGGCCACUGCAAGUCGGUUGUGAAAUCUCCGGGCUUAACCCGGAAAGGUCAAUCGAUACUGCAGGGCUAGAGUGCAGAAGGGGCAACUGGAAUUCUCGGUGUAGCGGUGAAAUGCGUAGAUAUCGAGAGGAACACCUGCGGCGAAGGCGGGUUGCUGGGCUGACACUGACGCUGAAGUGCGAAAGCUAGGGGAGCGAACGGG
rnacentral:rRNA from 1 species